rnacentral:rRNA from 1 species
UAAAAAAGAUUUUUUAUUGCUACAAAGAGAGCUUGGCAAGGAUUAGGUCAAUAGGUUUUUUUAACAGAAACUUAGCCAUCGAUCCUUAGCUGGACUGAGAGGUCGGUCAGCCACACUGGGACUGAGAAACGGCCCAGCCUUUAUUAGGCAGCAGUGUGGAAUCUUGGACAAUGAACGAAAGUUCGAUCUAGUAAUACCGCGUGAGUGAAGAAGGUCCUAACCGUAAAACUCUUUCGUUAGGGUAAGAAAAUGACAGAAAUCUAAAGAAGAAGUCCCGACCAACUUCGUGCCAGCAGUCGCGGUAAUACGGGGGGGACUAACGUUAUUCAUCAUAACUGGGCGUAAAGGGUACGUAGGCUGCUUUUUAAGUCUUAAUCAAAGAAGCUAAGCUUAACUUAGAAAUUGAUUUUGAUACUGUUAAGCUUGAGGUCAAUAUAGGUUAGUUAUAUUCUUGAAGUAAAAGUAAAAUCUUUAGAUAUCGAGAGGAUAACCGAGUGGUUAAUGCGACUUUCUGGAUUGAUGCUGACGCUGAGGUACGAAGGCAUGGGCAUCAAACGGGAUUAGAG